GGUUAAGCGACUAAGCGUACACGGUGGAUGCCCUGGCAGUCAGAGGCGAUGAAGGACGUGCUAAUCUGCGAAAAGCGUCGGUAAGGUGAUAUGAACCGUUACAGCCGGCGAUGUCCGAAUGGGGAAACCCAGUGCAAUUCGUUGCACUAUCGUUAACUGAAUACAUAGGUUAACGAGGCGAACCGGGGGAACUGAAACAUCUAAGUACCCCGAGGAAAAGAAAUCAACCGAGAUUCCCCCAGUAGCGGCGAGCGAACGGGGAGCAGCCCAGAGUCUGAAUCAGCUUGUGUGUUAGUGGAACGGUCUGGAAAGUCCGACGGUACAGGGUGAUAGUCCCGUACACCAAAAUACACAGGUUGUGAACUCGAAGAGUAGGGCGGGACACGUGGUAUCCUGUCUGAAUAUGGGGGGACCAUCCUCCAAGGCUAAAUACUCCUGACUGACCGAUAGUGAACCAGUACCGUGAGGGAAAGGCGAAAAGAACCCCGGCGAGGGGAGUGAAAAAGAACCUGAAACCGUGUACGUACAAGCAGUGGGAGCACCUUUA
rnacentral:rRNA from 1 species